GAGCAUUAGCAUAUGAUAGGUUUUGUACGGGUGGAUUUAUCAUUUUUCCUUUUUUUUCCCUUGUUCUUCAAUUUUUUCGCCCUUCAUUCGUUUCUUUCUCAUCUCUACCUUUUCUUUCUUGCUCCUUUUCAACUAUUUCUCCUUUAUUAUUGUUUUCUCCUUCUUUCUCCUCUUCUUUACUUUUCCUCCUCUUCUCUAUUUCCAACAACACUCCUUUCUUUUUCUCAUUUUCGUCACUAUUUGCAUUUAGCAUUUUUCCACUUCUCGUUGUUAUUGCUUUGUAAUGUUCUUUUGGAUUUGGUUCAGUUGUGGUUGUGAAGAUGCCUCUUUG
rnacentral:lncRNA from 1 species